GGUGACUCAAGGCUCCACGUUCCUCUGUUUGAAUGAGCAACUGGGAAAUCCUCCUCCGUAUGGCUUGUUCUGUCAUCAUUUGGACUUCACAUGGAAACCACAGUCCCCAGUCUAGCUUCAUGGAUGGCAUGAGCCAGGAGGAGGUUCAGAUGUAGGGCAAGUUCUGCUCAGAUCGGAGGAGGAAGCAGAGAGCCCAGCUCUUCUAGACCCUAGUGGAUCGUUGACAAAAGAAAAAGGGAGACCAAUGUAGGGCAGGGCUGAGAGGCCAGGCGGGCAUGUCUGCAUCCUCUCUCAUGGGGGUGAGGAGGUUGUAAAAAUACCCAGAUGGAUAUGCACCCGGGAGCCCCACAACAUUGUGGCAUGCCAUCCUCAGAAGUGCCUGUGGCCGUGGGCAGCCUCGGUGGGAAGGGGGUGGCUGCACACAGGAGUCUGCACCCCAGCCCCGGCAACCCUCUCCCAGCCUGCAUGAGGGCACAGAUUCCAGGGUCCCCGCGGCUGGGGCUGAGAGCAGGAAGCUGGGCAGAGGCCACGGUCAGGAGAAGAGAUUGCUGCAACCCAGACAUUUGUAUCUGGAGCCGUGGGGGCAGACUGCUCACCCUCAGAGAGUAGAAGGGCCCAGGCACAGCCCUGCUGUCACCUGAAGGGGAGGCAGCCCAGUCUGGCCCCAACACCUGCCAGGACCUCAACCACUCCAUCUGAGCUUGGUUCCCUCUGCGCCAGAGACCCCAGGCACCUGCUCAGGAGUACAGCUGGGUGCCUUCUAGAAGGGAGCAGGCCUGGGAAGAUGGUCCACCCAAGAGACAGCCCAAAGAGACCCACUAAACAGGAAGAGGCCUGAAUCCCAUUGAUUUUGCAAAUCCAGGUUUUUCUGCCUCUCACACCCCCAUCCACAAUGAGGUGGAGACUCUCGAAAGUUAUAUGCAAUAAAAUGCUGUAUUUUUUUCUCU